GACGAACGCUGGCGGCGUGCUUAACACAUGCAAGUCGAACGGAAAGGCCCUGCUUGCAGGGUGCUGGAGUGGCGAACGGGUGAGUAACACGUGGGUGAUCUGCCCCUUACUUUGGGAUAGGCCUGGGCAACUGGGUCGAAUACUGGAUAGGACAUUGCUGUAGGUGGAGUGGUGGAAAGAUUAGGUUCGGUAAGGGAUGAGCUAGCGGCGUAUCAGCUUGUUGGUGGGGUAAUGGCCUACUAAGGCGUCGACGGGUAGCCGGCCUAAGAGGGUGGACGGCCAGCUUGGGACUGAGAUACGGCCCAGCCUCCGGCGAGAGGCAGCAGUGGGCGAUAUUGUACAAUGGGAGCAAGCCUUAUGCAGCGACGCCCCUCGGGUGAUAACGGCCUUCGGGUUGGAAACUCCUUUCGGCCAUGACGAAGCCCUUGUGGUGACGGUAGUGGAAGAAGAAGCACCGGCUAACUACGUG
rnacentral:rRNA from 1 species